UACGAAGGGAGCUAGCGUUAUUCGGAAUAACUGGGCGUAAAGGGCGCGUAGGCGGCCUAUUAAGUCGGUUGUUAAAGGCCUUGGCUCAACCAAGGAGAUGCAAUUGAUACUGGUAGGCUAAGAGGGCAAGAGAGAGAAGUGGAAUUCUCGGAGUAGCGGUAAAAUGCGUAGAUCUCGAGAGGAACACCGAUAGCGAAGGCAGCUUCUUGGCUUGUACCUGACGCUGAGGCGCGAAAGCGUGGGGAGCAAACAGGAUUAGAUACCCUUGUA
rnacentral:rRNA from 1 species